rnacentral:lncRNA from 1 species
UAAAAGGUAUCCGUCGAAUACAACUCGUCGCCAUAUGAGUUAUGACAUUGACGACGUACAUGUGUGAUAUGUGAUUGAUCAUAUCGUGUAAUAGUUUAGAUAUUAGAAAUAAUUCAACUUGGUCACUAAUAGUAAGAAAGAAAAUUCGUAAUGUUUUAUAGGGUGAUUAUUUUCACACAUUUAUUAGGCUUCAAAACAAAUAUGCUGAACUGUUUUCCAAAAGCAGAUACAAAGUUUGACGUAUCAUUAGAUGAAUAGCAUUUUCAACGGUGGAGAAACCUAUUUGAAAUUCUUAAUGAUAAAAUAUUAAUAUUUU